UAGUCUUCUAGAAGCUGGUACAUGUACAGC
rnacentral:piRNA from 1 species